rnacentral:rRNA from 1 species
CUACGGGGGCUGCAGUGAGGAAUAUUGGGCAAUGGGCGAGAGCCUGACCCAGCAACGCCGCGUGGAGGAAGACGCAUCAAGGUGUGUAAACUCCUGUUAGAUGGGACGAAAGUUAUGUAUUCGAAUAGGGUAUAUAUUUGCCGGUACCAUCAGAGAAAGCUCCGGCUAACUCCGUGCCAGCAGCCGCGGUAAUACGGGGGGAGCAAGCGUUGUCCGGAAUCAUUGGGCGUAAAGGGCAAGUAGGCGGGUUUGUCAGUCGGAAGUGCAAUCUCAGUGCUUAACAUUGAGUUAGCUUCCGAAAGUGCAGAUCAUGAGUAGGAGAGAGGGAUGCGGAAUUCGCGGUGUAGCGGUGAAAUGCGUAGAUAUCGGGAAGAACACCAGUAGCGAAGGCGGCAUUCUGGCUCAUAACUGACGCUGAAUUGCGAAAGCGUGGGUAGCGAACGGGAUUAGAUACCCCGGUAGUC